rnacentral:sRNA from 1 species
GUUUUCUAAUUGUCCCAUGUCAUUGGCCCAUGUAAAUACAAAGAUUUCUCUCUCCCCGCCCCGCUUCUAAAGAAUGAUUUUUCUCUUGUGUUUCUCAGAGAAGGAACAAGCUAUAAAUCGGGCUGGAAUUGUUCAAGAGGAUGUGCAGCCACCAGGGUUAAAAGUGUGGUCUGAUCCAUUUGGCAGGAAAUGAGAGGGCUGUCACCAGCUCUGAUUAAGAAAGGAGAUUUCUUCAUGCUUUCGAUUCUGCAUGGGGUACAGUCAGUCACCUCACCAGAGAAUGACGGCUGGAGAAGAAAAUUCUAAUACCAUAAAUGAGAGUGCUUGUAAUAAAAGACUGUGCACAAGGAUUAAUAUUUCCCUUCUUAAGUAUCAAAAGAACUCUGGAACAAAUUAUACCAUUAGGAAGGUUUUCAUGAUUCAGU